rnacentral:tRNA from 1 species
AUUAAGGUAGUUUAUAAAAAUAAUGAACUGUGAUUUCAUAGAUAUAGUAUAUCUAUCCUUAAUA